GGGGGAUGGGUGGAGGGUCGGGUGAGAGCCGGGCGGGGAAACUGCGGAGGGCAACCGUGCGCGGCGGAGGCGGAGCAAAUAUGCUUUCCCCGCUCGACCCUGCCGGCCGCCACGUGGGGCGCUGCGGAGACCAGUCGGCCCACAGCGCUGGGGCGCCUAGCCGGGGCGCCGGGCGACCGGACGCGUCGUCGCCGCUACCGGGGCCUCGGACUCCUUCGGCCUCGUCGGCUGUCGCUUUUCUGUCGUACGCCCUGCGCCUUCACGCUUUGCUGUCAAUCCGAGCGCACUCCCAGCACCCUGCGCACACGGGUGCACGCACGCUCAGCGUGUUUUGCACGGUGUGUACACAUUUGACGUGCUCCAGCUGAAGGCCCCGACGCCGCCCGUCAAAGCUGCGGCCCAGGCGACCUUCGCCACGAGCUUCCCCUCCUCUCGGCUGGUCAUCCCUCCUCGCGCACGGAAGUGCGUCGGGGGAAGAAAAGCGCCUCCAUUCGGUAGGCAAACCGCCCGGCAGUUCACCAGAAAGGAAAACUUUCACCACCACCCUGGGAGGGCUGAAUAAUAUUCUGUUGUCCGGAUGUACCAAAGUUUAUCCAUCUACCUACUGAAGGACAUCUUGGAUGCUUCCAAGUUUUGGCAAUAAAAAUAAGCUUCUGUAAACAUCCAGGUGCAAAUUUUUACAUGGACAUAAGUUUUCAACUCAUUUGGAUGAAUUCUAAGGACCGUAAUUUCUGGAUUGUAUGUUAUAUGGCGCGUACCCACCACCUCACCUCUCCUACCUUCCUCAUACUGGGAGACAAGUCUUCCCCGGAGUUUUGGAUCUCGGCAGGCGGACAUGCCAUCUUACACACUACCCUCGACUGAACGUGAAAACAACCUGAGAAACACAGACUAUUCAAUGGGAGAAGGGAGAAGAGGAGUGAAGGAGGUAGAUAAAAAUCCCCCUUGGCUAUGGAGAAAAGGCCGAGGGUUUCAGUUCCCUUGUUUGAGGCAAAGAUGGCACAGAGCCCCAGGAAUAGGCUUAAAAUAGUGAUCCUGGCAGGGCAUACAAGACUUCUGAGAUUGAUCAGAAAAGCUUCCAGCUUAUGAGAUCUCCAGUGUCUUUUUUCAGCCAGCAACUGGAAUAGCAGGCCAGAAAACUUUUGGUGGCAAUUUGGAGAAAUAUUAAAUGAAAAUAUCUUCAACUAGGAGUGAAGAAAGCUCUGGAAGGAAUGUGGAACAGUGAAAGAAGAGAAAAGCUUUACCUUGAUAGAAUCAGGACCACCAACGGACCUUUUCUGUCUCUAGCUUGGAACCUGGGAUCAGAAAGUGGUACGCCGGCCUCUCACUGUUGUGGCCUCUCCCGUUGCGGAGCACAGGCUCCAGACGCACAGGCUCAGCGGCAUGUGGGAUCUUCCCGGACCGGGGCACGAACCCGUGUCCCCUGCAUCGGCAGGCGGACUCUCAACCACUGCGCCACCAGGGAAGCCCUAUUACCACUCCUUUUAAGCACACAGAGCUUAAAUAGUUUGCUAAAGGUCCAUUACAAUGGGGCACACCAAGAAUUUGAACUGAGGAAGCUGGGAAGCAAAUUCUGAAGGCAAAGUUAGGAGAGCAAAAUCCUGAAGCGCAGCAAGCCAGAGCCUACUUAAUGUGCCAAGAUCUGCGUGGACUAAGUCAAGCAGCCCGUCUGAUGAAAUCGACCCGUUUCCGACACUCUCUUCUGAACAGUGACAUCAGGUGGCGUCUCUGAGGUGAAGGCUGGUCUAAGUGCCGCUCCUACCUGGCAAGACAUUACAGACUCAUUCAAGCAUCACAAACAUAUCUUCUCGUUUUUAGCUAAGUGCAUCCAAGCUUUCCUUUGGGGAACUUUCUCUCUCCACAACUGUCAGCCCGUGUUGUUGCUAUGGAGUUGUGAGCACUGUCUGGCUCCAGGGACCCACCCUGGGAUAAUGAAAGCUCUCCUGAGGACAUUUGCUAGGAGUACUAGGAAAGAAGCGCUCUCUUUAAAAGACUCUGGAUGCUAAGAGAGCCAUCUUGAUACCACUUGGAGAGGGCAAACUUGAGAAUAAAGCCAGCGCAGAAGAAAGCAGAGCCAACUACGGUUCCUGAAAACAAUUUUCCUUUUCUCCUUAAAUGUGAUGGAGCCUGCUAACCAACUGGUGAACUGCUCUGGAUUCCCUAACUGCCAGCCAUCAGAAGCUGCCUUUGAAUCAUGAGAGGCUGCUCAAUGCACCAGUCAAAAAAACACCAGUUAAAAAGCUUACAGAGGGCUUCCCUGGUGGUGCAGUGGUUGAGAGUCCGCCUGCCGAUGCAGGGGACACGGGUUCGUGCCCCGGUCCGGGAAGAUCCCACAUGCCGU